UGCAUAUCAAAUAAGCGGAGGAAAAGAAACCMACAGGGAUUGCCUCAGUAACGGCGAGUGAAGCGGCAAGAGCUCAACUUUGGAAUCGCUCCGGCGAGUUGUAGUCUGGAGGCGGCCGGUCCGCCUUGCGCAACCAAAUCUAAGUCCUCUGGAACGAGGCGCUUGAAAGGGUGACAGCCCCGUGGAUUUGUCUGUUGUGCUUGGCCCCUGGUCCUGCCGACGAGUCGAGUUGUUUGGGAAUGCAGCUCUAAGUGGGUGGUAAAUUCCAUCUAAAGCUAAAUACCGGCGAGAGACCGAUAGCGAACAAGUACAGUAAUGGAAAGAUGAAAAGCACUUUGAAAAGAGAGUGAAACAGUACGUGAAAUUGUUGAAAGGGAAGGGCUUGCAGGUAGACAACUGUCAGCAUCGGGUGGAGUGGAGCUAGAAGUGGGCGCUGAUGUAGCAACUUCGGUUGCAUUAUACAACGCUCAGAUAGCUCCCGUUUCGCCCGAGGAUCGCCUUUUGAAGGAUGCUGGCGCAUUWUGGGSUKYWWGCCACCCGUCUUGAAACACGGACCAAA
rnacentral:rRNA from 1 species